CAGGAAUCUUUAGUUCUUCCGUUCGACCGCAAAUUUCACGAAUAUUUAGAGAGAAGGUAUAUUUAAUUAUUCAGUUCUUCACAAAUCUGGUUUCUUCCUCCACAAAUUUCCAGAAAUCAAAAAUAACACAAAUUUAAAGUAACACUAAUAGGAGACCACCCAAGUUUAAUAUUGAGCAGGGGAAAAAAGAUGGAGGCGCGACGCCGAGGUGAUAAACUUUCCGACUUUCUCUCCUCUCACAAACAAAGCACACAAACGUUAAUGGAGGAUUAGGGUUUCGAGGAGAGAAAACUGAACCAGUGAACUAAAAUCUGCCAUAUCUUCACUUUUACCGAAGCCUUCCCCGCUAUACCAUCUCACUAGCUGCUUUUCCAUCAACCUCAAAAGUUCUGAUUUCUUCUGUCACUUUUUCGUGGAAUUUUACAACUCGACGAAGUUACGCCGGUGAUGUUAGUGUCGACAAGUGGGCGCCUAGUCGACCCGGUCGUGUUGGUGGAGGAGAGUGAGUGACUCAAAAGUUCAAGAGAAAGUCAAAAUCAAGAAAUUAGAGUGACUCAAAAGUUCAAGAGAAGGUCAAAAAUCAAGAGAAGGUCGUGUUUCUACCGUUGAUUCGACUAACGACUCUUUAUCCCCUGUUAGAAAUGGUGUGUUUUUGUUGUAGUGUGGUGGACUGGUUUUUAUUAGCGUUCAGGUGGUGGUUUAGGUCAUAUGGCGUGUGAGUGGUGGGGUUGGUUACUGGGGUUCAGUGGUGGAUCGGAAUUUUUGGAUGGGUGAGUUAAUUUUCGUGUGAAAGGUGAAUUUGUGGGGCUGAUUUUGUAAUUUUCAAGUUAUAGUUAUAAUUUUUAAGGAAUUUUAAUAAUUAGUUACAUAUUUUUGGGUCAUACUAAUGGUUUUCUCAUUCAUAAUUAGCUUUUGCUUAAUAGUUAUGAAAUUCAGAUAUAUAGUUAUGAUUUUUAGAUUAUUAGUUACUAAUUGUGGUUAAUAAUUAUGGUUUUAUGGUUGAUA